rnacentral:rRNA from 1 species
UACGUAGGGGGCAAGCGUUGUCCGGAAUUAUUGGGCGUAAAGAGCGUGUAGGCGGUCAGGUAAGUCUGCUGUGAAAGUCCAGGGCUCAACCCUGGAAGGCCGGUGGAAACUGUCGGGCUAGAGUCCGGAAGAGGCGAGUGGAAUUGCCGGUGUAGCGGUGAAAUGCGCAGAUAUCGGGAGGAACACCAAUGGCGAAGGCAGCUCGCUGGGACGGUACUGACGCUGAGACGCGAAAGCGUGGGGAGCAAACAGG